AUGUCAUGGGGACACAUCCAUGGGACACAUCCAUGGGGACAUCAUUUCAUGGGACACAUCCAUGGGGACGUUAAUUUGUGGGACACAUCCAUGGGGACAUCAUCCCGUGGGACACAUCCAUGGGGACAUCAUCUCAUGGGAUGCAUCAUCUUUGUGGGGACACAUCCGUGGGGAUGUCAACUUGUGGGACACAUCCAUGGGGGACACAUCCACGGGGACAUCGUCACCUUCCUGGGGACAUCUCAUCUUUCUGGGGACAUCAUCUUCUUGGGACCCAUCAUCUCCACAGGGACACGUUGUUCCUUUGGGGACACAACCAUGGGGCCAUCAUCUUGUGGGACGUGCCAUCCUUGUGGGGACACAUCCGUAGGGACGUCACCUCCAUGGGACGCGUCGUCCUUGUGGGGACAUCAUCUUCUUGGGACCCAUCACCUCCAUGGGGACAGAUUGUCUCCUUGGGGACACCAUCUCCGUGGGGACACCACCACGGGGACAGACAGUGUCCAUGGGGACACGCUGUGUGCACGGGGACACCUCACCUCCAUGGGGACACCCGAGUGGGGACACCUCACCUGCACGGGGACGUCUCUGCUGGGGACUGCCCAGCCCCCUCUACCAGAUGUGGGGUCCCCCCAUGCUCUGGGUGCACCACGGACCCCCAGGAGGGUUUGGGGUUCUCUGUGCUCUGCGGGAUUCAGGUUUUGGGGUGUCCCACACGCCCAAGGUGCAGCUCAGACCCCCACUUACCCGAUUUGGGACUGGGCUCUUCACUUUUUGAGGUGCCCCAUCCCUGGGUGCUUCACCUUUUGGGGUGCCCCUCACUCCCCGUGCCCCCCAGGGAUGACCUGCCAGGUGUGCAGCUCCUACCUGGCGGAUGAGGUGGGGUCAGGGAGAUUCAGGUACAGGGGUGCCCCCAGAUUCAGGAAUUGGGGUGCCCCAGAUUCAGGUACAGGGGUGCCCCCAGAUUCAGGAACUGGGUUCCCCCAGAUUCAGGUACAGGGGUGCCCUCAGAUUCAGGAAUUGGGUUCCCCCAGAUGCAGGAAUUGGGUUCCCCCAGAUUCAGGAUUUGGGGUGCCCCAGAUUCAGGUACAGGGGUGCCCCCAGAUUCAGGAAUUGGGGUGCCCCAGAUUCAGGUACAGGGGUGCCCCCAGAUUCAGGGGGGGGGGGGGGGGGGGGGGGGGGGGGGGGGGGGGGGGGGGGGGGGGGGGGGGGGGGGGGGGGGGGG
rnacentral:lncRNA from 1 species